rnacentral:rRNA from 1 species
AUUGAACGCUGGCGGCAGGCCUAACGCAUGCAAGUCGAACGGUAACAGGAAGAAGCUUGCUUCUUUGCUGACGAGUGGCGGACGGGUGAGUAAUGUCUGGGAAACUGCCUGAUGGAGGGGGAUAACUACUGGAAACGGUAGCUAAUACCGCAUAACGUCGCAAAACCAAAGAGGGGGACCUUCGGGCCUCUUGCCAUCGGAUGUGCCCAGAUGGGAUUAGCUAGUAGGUGGGGUAACGGCUCACCUAGGCGACGAUCCCUAGCUGGUCUGAGAGGAUGACCAGCCACACUGGAACUGAGACACGGUCCAGACUCCUACGGGAGGCAGCAGUGGGGAAUAUUGCACAAUGGGCGCAAGCCUGAUGCAGCCAUGCCGCGUGUAUGAAGAAGGCCUUCGGGUUGUAAAGUACUUUCAGCGGGGAGGAAGGGAGUAAAGUUAAUACCUUUGCUCAUUGACGUUACCCGCAGAAGAAGCACCGGCUAACUCCGUG